ACAUAUUUUUUCCUUUUUCCCAAAAUGAAACCCUAGCUACCCAUCAGCUCCCUCCCUUCUAACAUCACCCACACACGCACACAGAAACGGAAAAGAGAGAAUAAAGGGGAAACGGGAAGGGAACUGCCUAGGAGGAGGAGAGGGAGAGGAGGCGAGCUGUCUGCGCCACCACCCAGUCGCCGCCACCAUCACGUCAGCACCUCAUCGCCGUCAUACUCGCCGGCAUGGAUGAAGCCCUUCGCUGCCGCUGCUGCCCGUGAAGCCGAGGCCGUCAUGGGUCAGAACUGAGGCGAGAGAGAAGGCCGCAGAGGAGGAGGGAACCGCGCCGUCUAGUCACCGUCUGUGAAGCUCAGGUCGCCGUCCAUGCUCGCCGCCACCGUUCGUCUUCCCCACUGCCAGACGCCGUCGCCGUUCGCGAAGAGGAGAGGGAGCUUGCCUGACCUUCGGGUCCGCCAUCAGAUCCGCCGUUAGAGUCGCAAACAAAGGACGCAAGAGAGAGAACCGUUGCGGAGCUGCUGUGUCGCCGGAGCUCCACGCCACCGUUGCUGCCGCUGGGAACCGCCACCGCUGAAACCCACUGUCGUCACAGUCGCCGGAGUUCUGGUCGCCGCUGCCGCUCGAGGUGGUUACUGGGGCUGCCGCCAAACCGGUUCAAUGACCGCUGCUGUUUCAUUUUCUUAGUUCGGGUCGUGUUCUGAGCAUUGGUUAUCGCUUUAAGUUGCUGUGAGUGCUGUGAAGGUGAUCAAGGACUGAGUUGCGGUUCUAUUGAUUUCGGGUUACAAGGAAAGGUUUCGUUGACGCGUUUUGGGUUAUAGUUUCGACGAGUUGAGGCGUAAUGGCCGGGUUCGUCCCGCUUACACUGAGUUGUAAGCAUAAGGGCCGGGUUCAUCCCGCUUAUGAUGAGAGAAUUGAUAUUGAUGUGAUUGUUGCUAAGUCACUUGCACCUGGCAAAGACGGUGGUUAAUCCCGCUUCUCGAGGUUGCGGCGCCCGCGUAAGGACGGUGGUUAAUCCGGCUUACGUGUAGAUGUGAGGUCGAAGGCAGAGUAUCCCGCUCACAUCCUUUCGGAUCACAGGAGUGUGCAGGCACUGACAUCCUGGACCGUGUGUCGGACACGUUAUCCCAGGGGGUUCCCAUUUAUUCGUGACCGAAAGACAAUAUUCCCAUUUUAGGGUAUGCAUAUUAUAUUUGGUUUGCCUAUGUAAAUAAUAAUGUUAACUGCUAACUGUUAUACUUGUUGUAACUGCUCUUGAUUGUGUUUGAACUACAUUAAUUGUGAUUGUGUUUGAUUGGGUGGUUGUUGAUGAGUUGGUUGAUGAUUGAGCUGUUUGGGCCGAGGGCGUGUUGGAUUGGAUGGGCCUGAGGCUGUGGUUGGUAUGUUUGAGGUCUAGCUCUGUAUAAAGUAUCAAACUGGUUCAACAUAGACUUAAUGAACCUAUGCUUGGGACAUGUUGGACAAGUUUUGGAUAAUUAGCUUAUUUCCUCUUUUGAAAUGGAAUUUUGGAUGUUAACCCUUUGGAUUUAAAAAAGGCACGUAAGACGAGAA